CUCGGGCUCCGCCAAAUUCUAUGGAUUUAGUCCGUCCCCCCCAGGGAGGGGUUUUGGCAGAGAGACUGGAGACUGAAGGUGCAUAUGGAUAUCAGCAACCUGUUUAUCAGCAGACCUCUAUGAUCCCUAUUGAGGAUUUCCAGUUCCGCAAAUGGCUUGGCCAAGGAAGUUUCGGAAAGGUCUUUAUGGCAGAACAUAAGAAGACAGGGAAAAACGUUGCCAUUAAAAUGAUGGAAAAGCUACAAAUCUG